rnacentral:rRNA from 1 species
AGAGUUUGACCUCGGGUCAGGACGAACGCUGGCGGCGUGCCUAACACAUGCAAGUCGAACGAAGUAUGUUUUUCGGAAUGUACUUAGUGGCGGACGGGUGAGUAACGCGUGAAUAAUCUGCCCCAUACAGGGGAAUAGCCUCGGGAAACCGGGAUUAAAACCACAUGAUGCUUUUUUAUCGCAUGGUAGAGAAGUCAAAUCGAAUAAGAGGUAUGGGAUGAGUUCGCGUCUGAUUAGCUGGUUGGCGGGGUAAGAGCCCACAAAGGCGACGAUCAGUAGCCGGCCUGAGAGGGUGACCGGCCACACUGGAACUGAGACACGGUCCAGACUCCUACGGGAGGCAGCAGUGGGGAAUAUUGCACAAUGGAGGGAACUCUGAUGCAGCGACGCCGCGUGAGUGAAGAAGGUCUUCGGAUCGUAAAACUCUGUCCUUGGUGACGAAAAAAUGACGG